GGCAGCGGCCGGACGACCAUCGGUUUUCGAACUGAGGAAGGGGAUCCAUCAACAAAACUGCAGGGGGGUAACCCCUACGCUGAGAGGCGUGCUCUAUCACAGAAACGACACGCGCCUCUGCCAACUAUGAUGCGGGAACGCUGAGGUUCCAGGGGGCCGCGAUGCAACGGUUCAAUCUGCAGGAUGCAAGGCGGUUUCGCCGCUUAGUCGAAUGUCGUCAUGUGGGCUUCCAGGCUUCAAUUGUCUGGACCCGCUAACAGAAGAGUCCCUACGAGCCGCAGCC
rnacentral:RNase_P_RNA from 1 species